rnacentral:rRNA from 1 species
CGAGUGUAGGGUUCCUAGCGAGCCCAACCUCCCACCCGGUUUACUGUACCUUAGUUGCUUCGGCGGGCCCGCCAUUCAUGGCCGCCGGGGGCUCUCAGCCCCGGGCCCGCGCCCGCCGGAGACACCACGAACUCUGUCUGAUCUAGUGAAGUCUGAGUUGAUUGUAUCGCAAUCAGUUAAAACUUUCAACAAUGGAUCUCUUGGUUCCGGCAUCGAUGAAGAACGCAGCGAAAUGCGAUAACUAGUGUGAAUUGCAGAAUUCCGUGAAUCAUCGAGUCUUUGAACGCACAUUGCGCCCCCUGGUAUUCCGGGGGGCAUGCCUGUCCGAGCGUCAUUGCUGCCCAUCAAGCACGGCUUGUGUGUUGGGUCGUCGUCCCCUCUCCGGGGGGGACGGGCCCCAAAGGCAGCGGCGGCACCGCGUCCGAUCCUCGAGCGUAUGGGGCUUUGUCACCCGCUCUGUAGGCCCGGCCGGCGCUUGCCGAACGCAAAUCAAUCUUUUUCCAGGUUGACCUCGGAUCAGGUAGGGAUACCCGCUGAACUUAAGCAUAUCAAUAAGCGAGGAAAAGAAACCAA